UACAGAGGGUGCAAGCGUUGUUCGGAAUUAUUGGGCGUAAAGGGAGUGUAGGCGGUUGGGCAAGUCUUCUGUGAAAUCUACGGGCUUAGCCUGUAACGUGCAGAGGAAACUGCUCGGCUUGAGUGUCGGAGAGGAUAGGGGAAUACCCGGUGUAGAGGUGAAAUUCGUAGAGACUGGGAAGAACACCAGUGGCGAAGGCGGCUACCUGGACAGGUACUGACGCUGAAGCGCGAAAGCUAGGGGAGCAAACAGG
rnacentral:rRNA from 1 species